rnacentral:lncRNA from 1 species
UUUUUUUUUUUUUUUUUUUUUUUUUUGCUAAUCUUCCUAGAUGUACUUGAAAAUGUGGUCACUAUUUUUAGGAACAGAAUUCUUUUCAAAUUACAACUAAGUCAUAACUCAGUUAUGGCUUUGGGAUGCCAAUUGCCAUAUCCUGUUACUCCUGGAUUUACAAAUUUAAAUAAUAUUUUUAAAAAGAGAUUAUUAAUUAUACAUAUUCAAAUUAGAUUUAAAAUUAAAUUUGAAUGCAAGUACUUAGGAUUAAAAACCUCCUUUUAAAAAAUAGAUUUAUAUUAGACUCAGAAAUAUAUAAAUAUUUUAUAUAAAUUUAUAAAUGUAGUUUAAAAAAUAACCUUUAUGCUAAUGUGAGAUGCCUCCACUUUCAGCAAGCCACUUAAAUACAUUACAAAUCCCUGUUCUGGUCCAGGAGCCUGAUGUGAAACUUGAGGUUUGCCACUCACACUGGGCAUAGGUGUGGCUGAGCUCACCCCCUGUGCCCAGGCUGCUUUCGGGUCCCUGCAGUGCCUGAUGCCAAGGGUGCAGCCUGGCCCUGCUUGUGUGUCCAACUAGUGCAAAAGGACAGAGCAGCUCUCCUUGACACAGGAUAACCUUCCUUCCCUGACACAGCCCCUGCACACACAGCACGUAACCAUACAGAAAAACAGCAGUCCCGUGUGACAAGCGGGAUGAGCCACGCCGAGCACGAGCAGUCCUUGCUCCGGCCUCAGCAGUGCCUGGUGCUGCCCGUGACACCCUGUAUGCUCCUGUAGAUGAACCCCUGGAGCAUGCACACUUCUAGCCUGCAAGUCUGAGCCUGUUUUAACUAACUUGGGUGUGUGCAAGAGUAUGACAGUAUGGCCUCAUGAUCAGCCAUACCAUGAUCCAUCCAGACCCCACUGUCUCGCUCUUAUGUCAACCAACCAUUAAUCCAUCUCCAGAAGCAUAUUUCCCUCUAUGCUCUUGUGAGAGUUGCAGUUUUCCAGCAACUUUAGCUUUCCUGUACACUAAGCCUUUAAAAUUUCUGCGAAUUAAAUUUAAAAGUUAUUUUCUUAUUCUUCAACUGAACCCUGUCCCAAGUUGUUUCCAGCUCAAGAGCUGACUACUAUAAUUUAACAUUUAAAUUUUUGUUCUUGGGAAAUACAGGAUUCAAAGGAUGUUCCAUAAACUGAAUUGAGGUUUUAGAAAAAAACUUGCAUCCAGUAGUCUUUUGGAUCUCCUCCUAUUGUGACUUUCUGAAAGCUCAGCAUAAAUCCAGUAUCACAUUUAUAUAAGCAUUCAAUUUCUGUGGUAUAAAUGGCACUAAAUCUGUUUCUUUUUAUCCAUGUAGCAAACAGAGAGGAUUCUGUCUCAGAUGAAUUAAUUUAUUUAAGAAAUGUGUGAACCCAAUGUCAUGCAUCAGCUCAAAAAAUAGUGAUAGGCAGUGUAGUGCUUUGCCAAGAGGAGGCAUUCUGAGAGUCUGAAACAGAGUCCAACAGGGUCCAAAUACAGUGCAUCUCAUUUAUUCAGUUUUCCAGACUGAUAUUUCCUUUCAAUUUCUCUUUAAAUUGUCAUCAGUUUGAGUCUCUGCUUUCUCUGAAUCCAUAUAACAUUAUUCCAGCUUCUGUCUGACUUUUUUUGUUUUGUUUUACAUAGAGAUGUGAGGGUGGACCCCAAAUUUUAUCUAAAUAACUUCAGUCACAGCAUUAAAAAAAAAGGAAAGCACAUUUUUAUUGGAGGUUUUACUGUAAAGUGUUAGUUCACUGAAGAGUUUUCAUUUUUAAACAACUGAUACUUUAUUUGAGUCAUUCAUGGAAAUAUCCAGCUGCAUGAGCACACUGUUCACUUUGUCUUGUGAGUUUUUUGCUGCAAUAAUGUGAUCAGUUUUACUGCUGAAGAGACUUCUUUGACACUUGUUUUCCGAAUUUUUUCCUCCCAAAUAUCCCAGAAUGCUAAUUAACAGGAAUAGAAGUAGCAAGCAAAUAUGAUGAAGGAAAAAGCAUUAGAUGUAAAGCAACAAAAACAUUUGCUCCAGUUGGUUUUGUUUGGGAUGUGCAAAUAAAGAAGUGCACAGUUUACAAUGAGAUAUGUACACAGCUUGGCAGAGGUUUCAUAGCUGAAAUUACACUAUUCUCUGGCUACGAAGAUGAGUUCUAAAUAAAUCUCUUAAAAUUUCUUUUUGCACCUUUUUGUAUCAACAUCAGUUUCCAAGACUGCAUCUGAAAAAGCUAUUGUAGUAACAUUUUUGCCAGUAUUUACUGUGAUACUUAAUUAAUUCUAUCAUAUGGUCUGUUUUCCAAUGCACAUAGUGUUUUCCAACUCUUCUUUUUUUUAAUUAUUUAUUUCUGAGAAUAUAAUUAUUCUGGUCUCCAAAAAAGGAUUCCACAAUUUUCCCUGUUAAAGGGGAAUGAUGAAAUGUUGGAAGUAUUUGAAGCCUCAGAUGCUCCUGAAAAGAUUUAUAGAAGUUAAUGCUAUAACUGUCCAGCCUGGAGAGCUGCCACUUGGAAGGGCCCUGCUUAGACUUUGGACUUAAUUUCUCAGUAUCAUGUCUUUAAAAAGUAACUUUCAGCACUGGUCUCCCCAAAACUGUAACACCGCUUCAUGGGUAAACCAGGGCACACCUGCAUGAGUCCAGGAUGCCCGAGGAAUUUGUCACACAGACAUGCCACCGAACAGUGAAAACCUCCUAUGCUAUAAGCAUCUCCUGUCACUCCCUUGCUGUGUGUUACUGGCAUGAGGCAGUCAGUGAGCAAGAGUUUUGUGGUUCCUUUAUGCCCCACUAAUCCUGGCUACUAAAAUAGCCCUUUUGAGACCGCUGGCAUCUACACUAGCCUUUAAACUCUUUUCUAUACACCAGCCCCAACAGGGUUACACAAACAGGAGAAAAUAAAUUUGGACUAAAGCAAAUUUUGCACAGCCUGGGUGCCACACUGGGCACUACCUUCAUUGCUGGGAUGCUCUGAUCUUGCUUUUGUGCUGAAAAGUUUAUGCAGAAAUAGCAAGAACGUAUUUUUACAGAGUGAGUUUGUAUUAUUUUCUUUUUGCCCCAGUUGUAAGCCUAGUGGUAAGAGACAUAGCAUUUGUGAAAUAUGGUGAAUUCUUACAUAGUAUACAUAGCCCAUAGUAUUUCUGGUGUAAACUGCAGGUUGCUGGGUGAAUUAAGAGGUUACUAAUCUUCUUCCUGUCAAGAGAACUGAAUUUCUUCAGUUGAAAAGCACUACUGGCCAGCUGUCACUGGAGAAAUACACUGCUUUUUAAGAAAUCCUUGGCUAAUGUAUUCAUCUGUUUUGUGAGGAAAAACAUCUGUAUGUUUUGCCAUCCACAAAACCUUACGCACAACGACACAUAACUUGAUGUAUAACUUUCUAGUACAUUUAGAAGGGCUUCUAAGACAACCAGCCUUUGACUUUGGCAGCAUAAGCCAUCUAAUCUAGACUGAUGUAUGGUUUAAAAUAAAUCAUAUCUGUGUGACAAGCUAAAUAUCUGGAGUCUGUUUCUCUCUUAGUAAAAACAAAAUCUAUUCUAGAUCCAACUUGCUGUGGUUUUAGCAGCAAGUAAAAGCUGCAAUCAGUCUUAACUGCCUCUUGGUAUUGACCAAACAUUUUACAUAAAGAAAUUAACGCCUUACUUACUUGUAAGCUGAGAUUUCUCUCAUUUGAAUUUUUAACACAGCAUUUCUAAUCUUCCCUCAAAAAUACUCAUGGAGUAAAAUCCUGAUCCCAAUUAAUGUAAUGGCAGUCCUCCUACUGACAUUUUGGGAGCAGAGACUUAACUCAUAGCCUGAAAGCUGAUAGUGACUUUAACUCACUAGGCUGAAACAUGAGAUCCAGAGGGUAGAGUAUACAUUAAAUAGAUAAUUAGUUUAUUUCUAGCCUGUAUGCCAACAAGCAAAAAAUAAUGCAUGUUUGUAUCAUUUCCAAUGAUGCAGGGAACACAACUACUCCCUACAAUUAAUACAAAAUGCAGCAAAUAUUUGUCCCACCCAUUUUUUUUAUCUUCAGAAAGAUAGCCUAUAUUGUGAAAUAUUUCAUUGACUUCCUGAACCAAAAUCAUAGUCACUGUUUUUAAGAAAAGUAAUUCCUUAUAUUGUACCAGUAAAUAGUGACCUUCCCAUUUAAUGUGCAGAAUUUUGAACCACACAAAAAUAAGUAGUUUUCAUUUUGUUUACUACAUAUAUACACACACUACUUAAAAAUAUUUGCCUGCAUUUGUGAGUACUUGCAGAUUACUCCUUGAGUGCAAAUUAUAUAAUUGAUCAGUUACCAGUUAAUAAUUAAAUGAAAUACAAACCAAGAUAUUUCUGAACAGUUUUUAAAUCAACUGUAGAUAUACUGGGAGACAUUCCACUAUAUUUUUGAAUAUUAUAUAUGUCUUUCUGAUGGUAUGCUCUUUCAAAGCAGCAAGGAAACAAAUAAUUUCAACAGUUUUCCCAGAUUCCCAAGUGCAAUAAGCAACAAAAAAAGUAGAUAGCCAGACACCUACAUGCACUUAGAGAUGAAAUUACCUGCAGUGAACUUCAAGGGGAGAGCCUACAUUGCAGGAAGGCAGAGCUUGGACGCAGCACAGCCAGGCAAGUCGUGUGCAUCUGAUUUGCCAGCUCAGUGUCCUGGUAAAUGAGGUUGUUAAGAAAGAGAGUUCAAUUUUAGAAGCAGGGACUCCUUUUGUGCGGAUGUGCAGCAUGUGGUACAUGAAGCAGGGCAGUCACAGGAAUGUUUCCAGUGUCCAUUAGUUUCUUCACCAGACGAGCUUGGCAAAAGGAGCUCACAAACACACAAAACAGAGGCAUUGCUUUGUUACAGAGAAGAUCUCUGCUCUGAAGCUAAGAAAAGUGAAGUCUUCAGGGGUAUUUCCAUCCAGAAAGUGGGGUCAAGCAAGAGCUAGGCCUGUAGAUCUUUCCAGUGAGACAUUGGCUCAUCUCACAUUAACAUUUUUCUCCCCAAGUGCUCUGUUCCUAUGAAUAAGUCAUAUUUUACUUGGGAGAAGCCUUUCUCAGUCACUGCUCUUACCUCCAGGGCCCGGCCGAUGAGGAACAGUCUCUGGCAGACAUCAGAUCCAGUCAGACCUGCUGCAGAAGGGUGGCUGAGUGCCAGAGGAGCCAGGGCCAGGGGUGGGAGAAUGCCGUGUCUCAGCCAGGAGAGGGAAAGAAGGAAGGAUGGAAGAGAUGGAACUGUGGUUUUCACCAUCUUCCCAUUUCAAAUUCCCAUUGUCUGCCACCAUUGUCUGUACAAGGGGCAGGACUACUAGAGAUUUUUCUGGCCAAAUGGCAGUUUCAUCCUCCUGGAUAAAAAUAAAUUUCAUUCCAUCUAAGUUUGUAUAUGGAUGGACAAGCCUGUGUGCAUGGUUUUGCAAAGAGCUCUCCCUCUGCAUAAACACUCUCUCAAAGCCAAAGUUGGAGGCCAGUUCAGUCAAGAUAUAUACUGUUUAACAACAAAUUGUACUUAUGUUGUUUUAAUUGACGUAUCUGUGAAGAGUGAAACCCCUACUUUAAUAUGGAUUGUAUCAACCAAUAAACUCACAAUUUU